GCCGCGGGAGGCGGAGGCGCUGUGGCUCUGGGAAGGCUGAAAAGGGAGGGCUGCAAAGGAGAAGAGCUUCGAGUCCUUUCCAUCAGGAGAGCACUGGAGGAGCACUGCUCAGGAGUCAGAAAGUGGAGUCUGGGCGUGACCUUGCACCUGACCAGCCUGGGGCUCCAGGUCCGCCGCAUCUGGACUAAUCUCCUGUGUCCUGAGCUCCCAGGACCCCAGAGGCAAGCAUGGAGAGGCCAGGCUGGCAGAUUGAAGUCACAGAGAAAGGCAGGAAAACUUCCUGGCUUAGGUUUCCAAAGGCCUCUGGGGGAUGAGGAGAACCCACAGUGGCUUAGGACGAGCUCCUGCACAGCGGCCUGUUUCCCAAUUGCAUCAUGUAUCUCUUUGCCUCUCUUGGCUCAGCCCUGGCCCUAUCCCCAGGCCAUCCAAGGGGCAGCCUGGUGAGGUUUCCUCAGCUUUGCUAAUGACUUGACCUACAGUCUUAAGUCA
rnacentral:antisense_RNA from 1 species